UAGACCAAUUUAGAUUUGGAACUAUUUUCGGGCAUAGCACCGGCAAAGCACCGCUGCCAGGCGCAAAGACAUCACGCAGCAUCUGAAAACCCUCAACUUCCGGCAUACACGAGCGAUUUGGAUCAAGCAUUGUGAUA